CAGCAGCCACGGGAAUACGUAGGGUGCAAGCGUUAAUCGGAAUUACUGGGCGUAAAGCGUGCGCAGGCGGUUUGUUAAGACAGAUGUGAAAUCCCCGGGCUCAACCUGGGAACUGCAUUUGUGACUGGCAGGCUAGAGUAUGGCAGAGGGGGGUGGAAUUCCGCGUGUAGCAGUGAAAUGCGUAGAUAUGCGGAGGAACACCGAUGGCGAAGGCAGCCCCCUGGGCCAAUACUGACGCUCAUGCACGAAAGCUAGGGGAGCAAACAGGAUUAGAUACCCCUGUAGUCCCUGUCUCUUAUAA
rnacentral:rRNA from 1 species